CACGUAGGGCGCGAGCGUUGUCCGGAAUUAUUGGGCGUAAAGAGCUCGUAGGCGGCCUGUUGCGUCCGCUGUGAAAGCCCGGGGCUUAACCCCGGGUCGGCAGUGGAUACGGGCAGGCUAGAGGUAGGUAGGGGAGAAUGGAGUUCCCGGUGUAGCGGUGAAAUGCGCAGAUAUCGGGAGGAACACCGGUGGCGAAGGCGGUUCUCUGGGCCUUACCUGACGCUGAGGAGCGAAAGCGUGGGGAGCGAACAGG
rnacentral:rRNA from 1 species